AACGAACGCUGGCGGCAUGCCUAACACAUGCAAGUCGAACGAGACCUUCGGGUCUAGUGGCGCACGGGUGCGUAACGCGUGGGAACCUGCCCUUAGGUUCGGACUAACUCCCCGACAGGGGUGCUAAUACCGGAUCAUGUCUUCGGACCAAAGAUUUAUCGCCUUUGGAUGGGCCCGCGUUGGAUUAGCUAGUUGGUAGGGUAAAAGCCUACCAAGGCGACGAUCCAUAGCUGGUCUGAGAGGAUGAUCAGCCACACUGGGACUGAGACACGGCCCAGACUCCUACGGGAGGCAGCAGUGGGGAAUAUUGGACAAUGGGCGAAAGCCUGAUCCAGCAAGGCCGCGUGAGUGAUGAAGGCCUUAGGGUUGUAAAGCUCUUUUAACCGGGAUGAUAAUGACAGUACCGGGAGAAUAAGCCCCGGCUAACUCCGUG
rnacentral:rRNA from 1 species